rnacentral:rRNA from 1 species
GGACAACUACCUAUGGAGGGGGAUAACCCCGGGAAACUGGGGAUAAUACCCCAUAGACUAUGGAUGCUGGAAUGCUUUGUAGUUGAAAGGUCCGCCGCCAUAGGAUGGGUCUGCGGCCGAUUAGGUUGUUGUUGGGGUAACGGCCCAACAAGCCUGUAAUCGGUACGGGUUGUGGGAGCAAGAGCCCGGAGAUGGAUUCUGAGACACGAAUCCAGGCCCUACGGGGCGCAGCAGGCGCGAAAACUUUACAAUGCGGGAAACCGUGAUAAGGGAACUCCGAGUGCCCGUAAAAUCGGGCUGUCCAUCUGUGUAAAUAACAGGUGAAGAAAGGGCCGGGCAAGACCGGUGCCAGCCGCCGCGGUAAUACCGGCGGCUCGAGUGGUGGCCACUAUUACUGGGCUUAAAGCGUUCGUAGCUGGUCUGUUAAGUCUCUGGGGAAAUCUACUGGCUUAACCAAUAGGCGUCUCAGGGAUACUGGCAGACUAAGGACCGGGAGAGGUGAGAGGUACUCCAGGGGUUGGAGUGAAAUCCUGUAAUCCUUGGGGGACCACCUGUGGCGAAAGCGUCUCACCAGAACGGCUCCGACAGUGAGGGACGAAAGCUGGGGGAGCAAACCGGAUUAGAUACCCGGGUAGUCCCAGCCGUAAACGAUGCGCGUUAGGUGUAUCGGUGACCACGAGUCACCGAGGUGCCGAAGAGAAAUCGUGAAACGUGCCGCCUGGGAAGUACGGUCGCAAGGCUGAAACUUAAU